AUGAAUUUAUAACUACACAAAACCCACAAUAGCAGGCCCACAGUUUGGCAGCCCAUGUUUGCUAAAGACGACGGCCCAACGGAAUAUGAGAAGGCUUGUGGGAAUAGACAACUGUCCAGCCCGGCCCGGUCCGGCCCAAAACUUUGGAGGUUUGAACACCCGUCACCGCCAAUGCGCCAGCUGGAGCCUGGGGGUUCUCUCUCUUCAGCCUGUGUUCAACGCUAGCUUCGAACUCGAAGUUGCAAUGGCAGCAACUACCAGAUACUUGGUGGUUUCUCUUCCCGUUCAAACCUCCGUUUCUUCUCUCUGGAAUCGCUUACAGGAAGCCAUCUGCAAAUGUUCCUUCGAGACUACUCUUUACAGGUUCGUUAUCCCCGAUCUCCGCGUAGGAACCCUAGAUACUCUCUUAUCCCUCAGCGACGAUCUCUUCAAGUCGAACAGGUUCGUGGAAGGAGUGUCUCACAAGAUCAGGCUUCAGAUCGACGAGCUAGAGAGGGCGUCGGGCGUUGACGGCGGUGCGCUUACGGUGGAUGGAGUUCCGGUCGAUUCGUACCUCACAAGAUUUGUAUGGGAUGAAGCAAAGUAUCCAACGAUGUCGCCACUUAGAGUCGUCUUUGAUAGCAUUCUUGCUCAAGUGGUCAGGAUUGACGAUAGUCUCAAGGUUCGUGUUGGUGAGUAUAACAUCGUGGGAAAUCAACUUAACGCUAUAAUUCGACAGCAAAGUGGAAGCUUGGCUGUCCGUGAUCUUUCCAGUCUAUUAAAACCAGAGGACAUUGUUACCUCUGAACAUUUAGUGACCCUCCUUGCUAUCAUUCCCAAAUAUUCUCAGGAGGACUGGUUGCUAAACUACGAGACAUUGACUGACUACGUGGUCCCCAGGUCCUCCAAGAAGUUGCAAGAGGACAAUGAAUAUGCUCUCUACAAAGUAACCCUAUUUCGCCAUGUUGCUGGCGGUUUCAAAAUGGGAGCGCGUGAAAAAGGAUUUCAAAUUCGUGAUUUUGAAUAUAGUCCAGAAGCACAAGAGAGUCAUAAGCAGGAGCUAGAAAGGUUGACACGAGACCGGGAUCAGCUGAAAAGCUCUCUUGUGCAAUGGUGUCAUGCCAGUUAUGGAGAGAUUUUUAGCUACUGGAUGCACUUCUGUGCCAUACGUGUCUUUGUAGAGAGCAUUUUGAGAUAUGGUUUGCCCCCAUCUUUCGUGGCAUGUUUACUAGCUCCAUCCAUGAAAAGUGAGAAGAAAGUACAUGCAAUACUCGAAGGGCUUUGUAACAGCGUACACAGCAGACACUGGAAAUGUGAGGACGAGAAUGGGGGAAUUGCUGGGUUGGGAGGAGACCUUGAUGCCUACCCAUAUGUUUGCUUCCCCAUUAACCUCAUUUGAUACAAGCUAAGUGCCCUAUGCUUUGUUCACAAGUCAGCAUCAGACAUAAUAAGAAGUUGUAUUUACAUUUGCAGCUUUGAGCGGCGUUUACAAGAAUCACAAGAAAUUCAUGGGAAGGUUAACCCCUUUAGUAUAUAGUUUUAAUUAGUACAUGCAUGAAUUGACACUACCUGUCUUGAUUAGUUGCUGGAAGCUUAGUUUUCUUUUUUUCUUUUUUCUUUUUAAAAUAUAAUAAUAAAGCGGACUGACCCUAAUUUUUUCUCCCCCUUGUGAUUGUGACACCCUUAGCCUCGGAGUUCAAAAUUUUAAAAACUCAACAAUUGAUUAUAAUAAGGUCAGUUGGUUAUUUUCUUUAAUUAUAGGAUGGAGGCACGGUGGAGUGUCAAACACAGUCCAUUUUUUUUUUGAAAAUAAUACCAAAUGAUUUAAUUAUAGGGAGAUAGUGAAUUGUUUUAACCUUCUCUCUUCGAUCCUGACUCUGUUUCUCGUCGGAUCGACAAUCUGAGACCACCACGACGCUCAUGGGAAAGUUCUCUGCAAGUCUGUUGGAGCAAAUCGUUGGUGGAAGUGAUUCGAAUUACAUCCCAAUUUCAGGAUAAGACAUUUUAUUCAGUAUUUGCCUUUACCAUAGUUAUAUAAGAUGUUGUGCAUAGAAAAAUAGUGAUAUUCUGUUCUGAGAGAUGUUGUUUUCAAGGUGUUGAGUAGGGAACCCUGCAGGUGUAAGACCAGAGUACAGUAGGGGCUUUUCAAAAAUUAGGUAAGAGAAAUAUGCUAUGUUAGGGUAUUUUUAGAAAGUUUAACAGCAUAUUAUGUAUUUAUAUUUACAAGCAAGAUGAUUAGUUUAUUUUUCCAGAAUAUCACGAGUAUUAUUAUUUCAGAGAAAUUACAGAUAUGAAGUAUGAGAUUUUAACUACACAGUUGUGUGGCUUGAGUUUAUUAUAGUUUAGUAUGUUGGUUAUGCAAUUUACAUAUAUUCAAUUAUAUGGUUUAUUAGCAGAAAGUAAGAUUUAAAACAUUUGUCAGAAUAACAUGAUUUCUAAACCAUAGUAUUCAGACAGAAAUUACAGACAUAUAAAAAAGAAAUUACAAAUACUACAGACAGAUGUUACAUAUAUUACAGAAAGAUAUUAUAAAUAUUACAGAUAGAUGUUAUAGAUAUUUCAGAAAAAUAUUACAGAUAUUAUAGACAAAUAUUAUAGAUAUUUCAGAUAUUACAGUUCAUAUAUUAUAGUGUUAUGGUUGCUUUGAAAUUAUGUUAAAACAGUAAGAUAAAUAUAUAUAUAUAUAUAUAUAUAUUUAUAUAUACAGUAUUACACAGUAUCAGAUCCCUGUGGAUAUUACAGACAAAGAUAUACAGUAGAGCACGGUACCGUUGCUAUUAUAGACAGAGUGUAACCACAACUUAGAUAGUAUGUGAAUUCUAUCUAACCGUGUCAGGAGAGAUUGUAGUCUCGUCAGCAUGUUGGGUUGAAGGUGGCUGGUUAGACGAGAUAGAUUUGGAGAUUGGUUGGAGAGAUUGCAAUAGGCCAGAUUUACAGAUUGACAGAUGUUAGAGAUACAAAUUGACUUGCCUAGUAGGCCAACCAGAGUAAGUUCAGCCUACAGGCCACACAACCCUGUCAUGAGGGGAUAUAUCAUGACAUAUAGAUCGUAGGGUAUAACAAAAGUUCCUAUGUACGGAUAUAUCAUACAGCAGCAGUUUAUAUUAUCAUAUUAGCAGUAUGUACAAAUAACAAACUCAGAUACACAGUUGUAUUUUAAACUACAUUACAUAUAUUCUGUACAAUUUAUCAGCUUAUUCAUAUUACAGUUUCAGUGUUAUUUCAGUAUAUUAAAUGUGUAACUCAGCCGCCACACACUAGUAAUAGCAUACUUCCUCUUACUGAGCGUUGUCUCAUUCCAGUGACUUACUAUUUUUCAGGAGAUCCAGCUAGACGAGUAGACCAGACUCGCAAGUAGAGAUUAUUUUGCACUGCCACAUUGGAAGGGUAGAUGUUUAUUAGAUACCAGUGUUUUAAGUUGCCGGAUCGACGAUCUGAAGCCACCACGACGUUCCUAACGAAGUUCUCUUCAAGUUUGCUGGGGCGGAUCGUCGGUGGGAUCGAGUUGGAUUUCAUCCUAAAUUCAGGGGUGUUGUGUAGGAGGCCUUGCGGGUGUUAGACCAGUAUACCAUAGGGACUUUUCAGUAAUCAGGUGAUCCAGGUAGGCGAGCAGACCAGGCUCGCAGAUAGAAGGGCCAUAGUACUGUCCUAUCAGUAGAGAGAGUAUAUUUUUGGGAGUAAUUUUGUAUAACCCUAUCCAGUUGAGGAUAUUUCUAGGAAACAGUUAUAUAUGUAUAUUUUGGGAAACCUCUUAGCACUCUAGUAUUGUAUAAAAUAAUAUAUGGAUAUGUUUAUUUGA